GACGAACGCUGGCGGCGUGCCUAACACAUGCAAGUCUUGGGAGAAAGAGGUAGCAAUACUUCGAGUAAACCGGCGCAAGGGUGAGUAACACGUAGGCAACCUGCCUUCAGGACGGGGAUAACUCCGAGAAAUCGGGGCUAAUACCCGAUAACGCAGCGGCACCGCAUGGUGACAGUUGUUAAAUGCUACGGCGCCUGAAGAGGGGCCUGCGUCCCAUUAGGUAGUUGGCGGGGUAACGGCCCACCAAGCCGACGAUGGGUAGCUGGUCUGAGAGGACGAUCAGCCACACUGGAACUGAGACACGGUCCAGACUCCUACGGGAGGCAG
rnacentral:rRNA from 1 species